rnacentral:rRNA from 1 species
AGAGUUUGAUCCUGGCUCAGGAUGAACGCUAGCUACAGGCUUAACACAUGCAAGUCGAGGGGAAACGACAUCGAAAGCUUGCUUUUGAUGGGCGUCGACCGGCGCACGGGUGAGUAACGCGUAUCCAACCUGCCCAUCACUUGGGGAUAACCUUGCGAAAGUAAGACUAAUACCCAAUGACGUCUCUAGAAGACAUCUGAAAGAGAUUAAAGAUUUAUCGGUGAUGGAUGGGGAUGCGUCUGAUUAGCUUGGUUGGCGGGGUAACGGCCCACCAAGGCGACGAUCAGUAGGGGUUCUGAGAGGAACGGUCCCCCANAUUGGAACUGAGACACGGUCCAAACUCCUACGGGAGGCA